CUACGGGUCGCUCCAGUGGGGAAUAUUGCACAAUGGAGGAAACUCUGAUGCAGCAACGCCGCGUGGAGGAUGACACUUUUCGGAGCGUAAACUCCUUUUAUAUAGGAAGAAGAUGACGGUACUAUAUGAAUAAGCGCCGGCUAACUCCGUGCCAGCAGCCGCGGUAAUACGGAGGGCGCAAGCGUUACUCGGAAUCACUGGGCGUAAAGAGCGUGUAGGCGGAUUAAAAAGUCAGAAGUGAAAUCCUAUGGCUUAACUAUAGAACUGCUUCUGAAACUCUUAAUCUAGAAUAUGGGAGAGGUAGAUGGAAUUUCUGGUGUAGGGGUAAAAUCCGUAGAGAUCAGAAGGAAUACCGAUUGCGAAGGCGAUCUACUAGAACAUUAUUGACGCUGAGACGCGAAAGCGUGGGGAGCAAACAGGAUUAGAUACCCGGGUAGUC
rnacentral:rRNA from 1 species